rnacentral:tRNA from 2 species
GCCCACGUAGCUCAGCAGGUAGAGCGUCGCCUUGGUAAGGCGGAGGUCACCGGUUCAAGUCCGGCCGUGGGCUCCA